rnacentral:rRNA from 1 species
GGUUAAGUGACUAAGCGUACAUGGUGGAUGCCUUGGCAGUCAGAGGCGAUGAAGGACGUACUAACCUGCGAUAAGCCGUGAGCAGUCGGUAAGAGACAUUACGACUCACGGAUUUCCGAAUGGGGAAACCCACUUAGCAUAAGCUAGGUAUCGCUGCGUGAAUACAUAGCGUAGCGAGGCGAACCGGGAGAACUGAAACAUCUAAGUACCCCGAGGAAAAGAAAUCAACCGAGAUUCCCUCAGUAGCGGCGAGCGAACGGGGAUUAGCCCUUAAGCAUCUUGGAAGUUAGUGGAACGGUCCUGGAAAGGCCGGCGAUACAGGGUGAUAGCCCCGUACACGAAAACAACCUUGAUGUGAAAUCGAGUAGGGCGGGACACGUGACAUCCUGUCUGAAUAUGGGGGGACCAUCCUCCAAGGCUAAAUACUCCUGACUGACCGAUAGUGAACCAGUACCGUGAGGGAAAGGCGAAAAGAACCCCUGUGAGGGGAGUGAAAUAGAACCUGAAACCGUGUACGUACAAGCAGUGGGAGCCCUUCGGGGUGACUGCGUACCUUUUGUAUAAUGGGUCAGCGACUUACAUUUUGUAGCGAGGUUAACCGUAUAGGGGAGCCGUAGGGAAACCGAGUCUUAACUGGGCGUCUAGUUGCAAGGUGUAGACCCGAAACCGGGUGAUCUAGCCAUGGGCAGGUUGAAGGUUGAGUAACAUCAACUGGAGGACCGAACCCACUAACGUUGCAAAGUUAGGGGAUGACCUGUGGCUGGGGGUGAAAGGCCAAUCAAACUCGGAGAUAGCUGGUUCUCCCCGAAAGCUAUUUAGGUAGCGCCUCGGACGAAUACUACUGGGGGUAGAGCACUGUUUGGGCUAGGGGGUCAUCCCGACUUACCAACCCCAUGCAAACUCCGAAUACCAGUAAGUAAUAUCCGGGAGACACACGGCGGGUGCUAACGUCCGUCGUGAAGAGGGAAACAACCCAGACCGCCGGCUAAGGUCCCAAAGUUCUGGUUAAGUGGGAAACGAUGUGGGAAGGCUCAGACAGCUAGGAUGUUGGCUUAGAAGCAGCCAUCAUUUAAAGAAAGCGUAAUAGCUCACUAGUCGAGUCGGCCUGCGCGGAAGAUGUAACGGGGCUCAAACCAGGCACCGAAGCCGCGGAUUCACACUAAGUGUGAGUGGUAGGGGAGCGUUCUGUAAGUCUGCGAAGGUGUAUCGAGAGGUAUGCUGGAGAUAUCAGAAGUGCGAAUGCUGACGUAAGUAACGAUAAAGGGGGUGAAAAGCCUCCUCGCCGGAAGACCAAGGGUUCCUGUCCAACGUUAAUCGGGGCAGGGUGAGUCGACCCCUAAGGUGAGGCCGAAAGGCGUAAUCGAUGGGAAGCAGGUUAAUAUUCCUGCACGACUUGUAAUUGCGAUGGGGGGACGGAGAAGGCUAGGUGGGCCAGGCGACGGUUGUCCUGGUGAA